AAUCCGUUUGAUCCUGACGGACCUGACUGCUAUCAGAUUGAUACUAAGCCAUGUUAGUUAUUGUAGUAAUACAAGGCAGACGGCUCAGUAACGCGUAGUCAACCUAACUUAUGGACGGGGAUAACCUCGGGAAACUGAGAAUAAUACCCGAUAGGUCAUGAUGCCUGGAAUGGUUUAUGACUCAAAUAAUUUAUUGCCGUAGGAUGGGACUGCGAGCUAUCAGCUUGUUGGUGAGGUAAUGGCCCACCAAGGCUUUGACAGCUACGGGCUCUGAGAGGAGUAGCCCGGAGAUGGGUACUGAGACAAGGACCCAGGCCCUAUGGGGCGCAGCAGGCGAGAAAACUUUGCAAUGCGCGAAAGCUCGACAAGGUUAAUCUGAGUGGUUCCUGCUAAAGGAACCUUUUGUUAGUCGUAGAACCACUGAUGAAUAAGGGGUGGGCAAGUUCUGGUGUCAGCCGCCGCGGUAAAACCAGCACCUCAAGUGGUCAGGAUGAUUAUUGGGCCUAAAGCAUCCGUAGCCUGUUCUGUAAGUUUUCGGUUAAAUCUAUGCGCUCAACGUAUAGGCUGCCGAAAAUACUGCAGAACUAGGGAGUGGGAGAGGUAGACGGUACUCGGU
rnacentral:rRNA from 1 species